UACAGAGGGUGCAAGCGUUAAUCGGAAUUACUGGGCGUAAAGCGUGCGUAGUCGGUUAUCUAAGUCGGGUGUGAAAUCCCCGGGCUCAACCUGGGAAUUGCAUUCGAUACUGGAUAGCUAGAGUUCGGCAGAGGGAAACGGAAUUUCGGGUGUAGCGGUGAAAUGCGUAGAUAUCCGAAGGAACAUCAGUGGCGAAAGCGGCUUCCUGGACCAGAACUGACGAUCAGGCACGAAAGCGUGGGGAGCAAACAGG
rnacentral:rRNA from 1 species